rnacentral:lncRNA from 1 species
UUAUUUAUUUAUACUUUACAAAGCAUAUUAUAUAAAUUAGUUGGCGUCGCGAACUUAAGUCAUAUACGUACAAACCACAUAUGUAUACACAUGUAGUCUAUAAAUAUAUAACAGAAGACAUUCGACAGAACAUUAGACGAAGGUAUUUUACAUACGAUAGUUGACCAUUAUCGAUAACAUGCGUAUUAAGUUAAUUAAUUGAGUUAUGUUCGCUGUUUGAAUUAAUCAAUUAGAUAGCACGUUCCAAUUGUAGGAGAUAGUUCCGUGCUGAGUGAUGAUAGCUGUUCAUUCAUCAAGCAAUUAAGAGAGAAGUCACUUGGUGGUGGGUGAGAAUCGCUGCCAUCUACUGUCUUUCAGCUUCAAGUGGGAUAUUUGCAUUGCUAUUCUGUAGAAUGGAAGAAGUGUGUAUAGAGUUAUUUCCCUGAAGGUGUCACUGGAUCUCUGCUUCUGGAUCCAGUAGUGAAAGGAUGUCUUCUCAUGCUCUCACGCCUGGCCUGUAGGACGCGAUCCUGGAUAUGCUGGUAGUUGGAGUGCUGGGGCUGGACAUCUUCAUUAUCUGGGUACCGUGUUGUUGCUGCAGAUACAUCUAUUUGUUGUGCUGGUUGCAGGGGCGUCAUUCUGGGCAAGUGGUUUGCUAUCGCCUCAUUAUAACGUGGUCUGGACAGUCUUUGGAGGAUGCAUGGAUUGGUGAUCAUUCGCCUUGCCAGGUAAUUGUUGUGAGUAGUCAGUCUUUGAUAAAAUUUUCUGGUCAGCGAAUUGUAC